CUAGCAGAGAAAGCAAGGGAGAAGAAUAGAGAGAACGAAGAAGCUAAUGGAGUUGUGCUGGUAAAGAGAGACAAUAAGAGAAAAUUGACCAUUGAAAAGACUACCUGCUGUCUGGAAUAUUUUUCACGUUUUUGGAGGAGGAGCUUUCCACAUAUAUUUUUUUUUCCCUGACCGAAUUCGGGAGUGUUUUAUGUUACAGAACUGGACUUGGCCUUUAAGUUUCUGCUGGAGAUUGGACCGAGAAAGUCGAUUGCUGAAUUGGAUUCCACUAUUGAGAAACAAGAUGGCGAGCCGUAACCCAGGAGCCCUGUAACCGCCGUCUAGCAGGAGGUACGCCCUCUGCUGGACAUUUCAAAUCAUCCAAACUGGUAUGACCUGCCCAUUUUUUCCUGCUAAAAAA